AUUGAACGCUGGCGGCAGGCCUAACACAUGCAAGUCGAGCGGAUGAGUGGAGCUUGCUCCAUGAUUCAGCGGCGGUCGGGUGAGUAAUGCCUAGGAAUCUGCCUGGUAGUGGGGGACAACGUUUCGAAAGGAACGCUAAUACCGCAUACGUCCUACGGGAGAACGUGGGGGAUCUUCGGACCUCACGCUAUCAGAUGAGCCUAGGUCGGAUUAGCUAGUUGGUGAGGUAAAGGCUCACCAAGGCGACGAUCCGUAACUGGUCUGAGAGGAUGAUCAGUCACACUGGAACUGAGGCACGGUCCAGACUCCUACGGGAGGCAGCAGUGGGGAAUAUUGGACAAUGGGCGAAAGCCUGAUCCAGCCAUGCCGCGUGUGUGAAGAAGGUCUUCGGAUUGUAAAGCACUUUAAGUUGGGAGGAAGGGCAGUAAGUUAAUACCUUGCUGUUUUGACGUUACCAACAGAAUAAGCACCGGCUAACUUCGUGCCAGCCGCCGCGGUAACAC
rnacentral:rRNA from 1 species